GGUUAACGGAGCGAAAGCGACGUUCAACCGCAAAAGAAGCAGAGGGGGCUUAGUGGUGGGGUGACUGCGUACCUUUUGUAUAAUGGGUCAGCGACUUAUAUUCUGUAGCAAGGUUAACCGAAUAGGGGAGCCGGAGGGAAACCGAGUCUUAACCGGGCGUUAAGUUGCAGGGUAUAGACCCGAAACCCGGUGAUCUAGCCAUGGGCAGGUUGAAGGUUGGGUAACACUAACUGGAGGACCGAACCGACUAAUGUUGAAAAAUUAGCGGAUGACCUGUGGCUGGGGGUGAAAGGCCAAUCAAACCGGGAGAUAGCUGGUUCUCCCCGAAAGCUAUUUAGGUAGCGCCUCGUGAACUCAUCUCCGGGGGUAGAGCACUGUUUCGGCUAGGGGGCCAUCCCGGCUUACCAACCCGAUGCAAACUGCGAAUACCGGAGAAUGUUAUCACGGGAGACACACGGCGGGUGCUAACGUCCGUCGUGAAGAGGGAAACAACCCAGACCGCCAGCUAAGGUCCCAAAGUCAUGGUUAAGUGGGAAACGAUGUGGGAAGGCCCAGACAGCCAGGAUGUUGGCUUAGAAGCAGCCAUCAUUUAAAGAAAGCGUAAUAGCUCACUGGUCGAGUCGGCCUGCGCGGAAGAUGUAACGGGGCUAAACCAUGCACCGAAGCUGCGGCAGCGACACUCAGGUGUUGUUGGGUAGGGGAGCGUUCUGUAAGCCUGCGAAGGUGGCCUGUGAGGGUUGCUGGAGGUAUCAGAAGUGCGAAUGCUGACAUAAGUAACGAUAAAGCGGGUGAAAAGCCCGCUCGCCGGAAGACCAAGGGUUCCUGUCCAACGUUAAUCGGGGCAGGGUGAGUCGACCCCUAAGGCGAGGCCGAAAGGCGUAGUCGAUGGGAAACGGGUUAAUAUUCCCGUACUUGGUGUUACUGCGAAGGGGGGACGGAGAAGGCUAUGUUGGCCGGGCGACGGUUGUCCCGGUUUAAGCGUGUAGGUGUGUGUUCCAGGUAAAUCCGGUUCACUUUAACACUGAGGCGUGAUGACGAGGCACUACGGUGCUGAAGCAACAAAUGCCCUGCUUCCAGGAAAAGCCUCUAAGCAUCAGGUAACAUCAAAUCGUACCCCAAACCGACACAGGUGGUCAGGUAGAGAAUACCAAGGCGCUUGAGAGAACUCGGGUGAAGGAACUAGGCAAAAUGGUGCCGUAACUUCGGGAGAAGGCACGCUGACACGUAGGUGAAGUGAUUUACUCAUGGAGCUGAAGUCAGUCGAAGAUACCAGCUGGCUGCAACUGUUUAUUAAAAACACAGCACUGUGCAAACACGAAAGUGGACGUAUACGGUGUGACGCCUGCCCGGUGCCGGAAGGUUAAUUGAUGGGGUCAGCGCAAGCGAAGCUCCUGAUCGAAGCCCCGGUAAACGGCGGCCGUAACUAUAACGGUCCUAAGGUAGCGAAAUUCCUUGUCGGGUAAGUUCCGACCUGCACGAAUGGCGUAAUGAUGGCCAGGCUGUCUCCACCCGAGACUCAGUGAAAUUGAACUCGCUGUGAAGAUGCAGUGUACCCGCGGCAAGACGGAAAGACCCCGUGAACCUUUACUAUAGCUUGACACUGAACAUUGAGCCUUGAUGUGUAGGAUAGGUGGGAGGCUUUGAAGUGUGGACGCCAGUCUGCAUGGAGCCGGCCUUGAAAUACCACCCUUUAAUGUUUGAUGUUCUAACGUGGACCCGUGAUCCGGGUUGCGGACAGUGUCUGGUGGGUAGUUUGACUGGGGCGGUCUCCUCCUAAAGAGUAACGGAGGAGCACGAAGGUUGGCUAAUCCUGGUCGGACAUCAGGAGGUUAGUGCAAUGGCAUAAGCCAGCUUGACUGCGAGCGUGACGGCGCGAGCAGGUGCGAAAGCAGGUCAUAGUGAUCCGGUGGUUCUGAAUGGAAGGGCCAUCGCUCAACGGAUAAAAGGUACUCCGGGGAUAACAGGCUGAUACCGCCCAAGAGUUCAUAUCGACGGCGGUGUUUGGCACCUCGAUGUCGGCUCAUCACAUCCUGGGGCUGAAGUAGGUCCCAAGGGUAUGGCUGUUCGCCAUUUAAAGUGGUACGCGAGCUGGGUUUAGAACGUCGUGAGACAGUUCGGUCCCUAUCUGCCGUGGGCGCUGGAGAACUGAGGGGGGCUGCUCCUAGUACGAGAGGACCGGAGUGGACGCAUCACUGGUGUUCGGGUUGUCAUGCCAAUGGCACUGCCCGGUAGCUAAAUGCGGAAGAGAUAAGUGCUGAAAGCAUCUAAGCACGAAACUUGCCCCGAGAUGAGUUCUCCCUGAGACUUUAGGUCUCCUGAAGGAACGUUGAAGACGACGACGUUGAUAGGCCGGGUGUGUAAGCGCAGCGAUGCGUUGAGCUAACCGGUACUAAUGAACCGUGAGGCUUAACCUU
rnacentral:rRNA from 1 species